rnacentral:rRNA from 1 species
GACGGAAGGUGCAAGCGUUGCUCGGAAUCACUGGGCGUAAAGGGUGCGUAGACGGUUAUUUAAGUCAGGUGUGAAAGCCCCGGGCUCAACCUGGGAAUUGCAUUUGAGACUGAAUAGCUAGGGUGCGGAAGAGGGAAGCGGAAUUUCCGGUGUAGCGGUGAAAUGCGUAGAUAUCGGAAGGAACACCAGUGGCGAAAGCGGCUUCCUGGUCCAGCACCGACGUUCAGGCACGAAAGCGUGGGGAGCAAACAGG